UACGUAGGGCGCAAGCGUUAUCCGGAAUUAUUGGGCGUAAAGAGCUCGUAGGCGGUUUGUCGCGUCUGCCGUGAAAGUCCGGGGCUCAACUCCGGAUCUGCGGUGGGUACGGGCAGACUAGAGUGAUGUAGGGGAGACUGGAAUUCCUGGUGUAGCGGUGAAAUGCGCAGAUAUCAAGAGGAACACCAGUGGCGAAGGCGAGUCCCUGGACAACACCUGACACUGAGGCACGAAAGCUAGGGGAGCAAACAGG
rnacentral:rRNA from 1 species